UCGGGAGGCAGCAGUGAGGAAUAUUGGUCAAUGGGCGAGAGCCUGAACCAGCCAAGUAGCGUGCAGGAUGACGGCCCUAUGGGUUGUAAACUGCUUUUAUGCGGGGAUAAAGUUCGCCAUGCGUGGUGUUUUGCAUGUACCGCAUGAAUAAGGACCGGCUAAUUCCGUGCCAGCAGCCGCGGUAAU
rnacentral:rRNA from 1 species